GAAUGUGCCGCAAGGUGCAUGGCAGACGGGUGAGUAACGCGUGGGCAAUCUACCUUCUCGUGGGGAAUAACGCUCCGAAAGGAGUGGUAAUACCGCAUGAGACCCAUGGCUGGGAUGCUGUGGGUGAAACCUGGGGACCUUCGGGCCUGGGGCGAGAAGAGGAGCCUGCGUCUGAUUAGCUAGUUGGUGGGGUAACGGCCUACCAAGGCGACGAUCAGUAGCCGGCCUGAGAGGGUGAUCGGCCACACUGGAACUGAGACACGGUCCAGACUCCUACGGGAGGCAGCAGUGGGGAAUUUUGCGCAAUGGACGAAAGUCUGACGCAGCAACGCCGCGUGGGUGAUGAAGGUCUUCGGAUCGUAAAACCCUGUCGUUGGGGACGAAGGUGGGGCGGUGAAUAGCCGCUUCGCUUGACGGUACCCGGAGAGGAAGCCCCGGCUAACUCUGUGCCAGCAGCCGCGGUAAUACAGAGGGGGCAAGCGUUAUUCGGAAUUAUUGGGCGUAAAGGGCGCGUAGGCGGUUUUUUAAGUCAGAUGUGUAAUCCCCGAGCUCAACUUGGGAACUGCAUCUGAGACUGGAAGGCUAGAGUGCUGGAGAGGGUGGUGGAAUUCCUCGUGUAGCGGUGAAAUGCGUAGAGAUGAGGAGGAACACCAGUGGCGAAGGCGGCCACCUGGACAGCAACUGACGCUGAGGCGCGAAAGUGUGGGUAGCAAACA
rnacentral:rRNA from 1 species